rnacentral:misc_RNA from 1 species
GAAAUGCGAUAAGUAAUGUGAAUUGCAGAAUUCAGUGAAUCAUCGAAUCUUUGAACGCACAUUGCGCCCGCCAGUAUUCUGGCGGGCAUGCCUGUUCGAGCGUCAUUUCAACCAUCAAGCCCCGGGCUUGUGUUGGGGACCUGCGGCUGCCGCAGGCCCUGAAAAGCAGUGGCGGGCUCGCUGUCACACCGAGCGUAGUAGCAUACAUCUCGCUCUGGGCGUGCUGCGGCGGCCCGCGUCCAACAAGCUGAACCCCCCCGUCUUUGACCUCGGAUCAGGUAGGGAUACCCGCUGAACUUAAGC